rnacentral:rRNA from 1 species
GUAGUCUCGCACAGAUGCAUAUCAAUAAGCGGAGGAAAAGAAACUAACAAGGAUUCCCUCAGUAACGGCGAGUGAAGCGGGAAGAGCUCAAAUUUGAAAUCUUGAAAGGUCACCUUUCACGAAUUGUAGUUUAAAGAAGUGUUUUCUGUUACGAUCGUAAUAUAAGUUCUUUGGAAUAGGACAUCACAGAGGGUGAGAAUCCCGUCUAUGAUUGCGAUUUGUAGCUUUGUGAUACACUUUCAAAGAGUCGGGUUGUUUGGGAAUGCAGCCCAAAACGGGAGGUAGAUUUCUUCUAAGGCUAAAUAUUGGCGAGAGACCGAUAGCGAACAAGUACCGUGAGGGAAAGAUGAAAAGAACUUUGAAAAGAGAGUUAAAUAGUACGUGAAAUUGUCAAAAGGGAAGCGUUUAACACCAGUGUUGUUUUCUGAAAAUCAACCUCUGUUAGCUUUAUGCAUGUUUGUUUAGACCUAAUCAGCUAUCUUGCAUGUUCUAUUGUUUGCAGUGGUGCACUUUUCAGUUUACAGGUCAACAUCAGUUUUUUUUACCGUAAAAAAGUUAAAGAAAGGUAGCUCAUGGCUCCGGUCGUGAGUGUUAUAGUCUUUUUCCUAUGCGGUAGGAGAGACUGAGGUCUGCAGUGUAGGCUAUUUGGCUAGAUACUCAGGUGCUAUGUGAUACCAUUUCAUAAACAACUUGUUGAUUAUGUUUUGUCUAUUGCAUACUCGCUUGUACUAUCAUACCUACGCUUAGGAUGUUGAAGAUGUAGCACAUCAU